GUGUCCAACGGGCUGCGCACAACGCAAGCCACGUACGCGCGUACGCCACAACGUGAUCGCGCUUGGUGCGUUUCUACGCGCGACCACAACGCUGCAUUCGGGUUCUUCUGACUUCCCCGUGCAGGCGAGUGAAACGGCAGCAUUGUGAAGGAGUGAGUGAGAGUUAGCGUGAAACAGAGAGAAGAAAAGAAAAAGCACAUCGGAAAGAAAAAGUUUUUGGCCGCCCCGUAGUGUCUACGGUAGAAUAUCGCUCACACUAAUCUGGCUGGCAAACAGUGGCACUGGCGGUGGCGAAAAAGGAAAAGUGUAGCGUAAGAGCAUCGGCGCGGAAAAUCAGUGCCCCGUAGUUCCGUAGACAGUGGCCAGCAGCGGAGGUGGUCAAGAUCGGGGGCCUGGCGAAAAUGCGCCUGGCGUCUUCAAGUGCAGCAGCAGCAGCAGCAGCAGCAACCGACCGCAACACCCAACCGCAGCAAAGUACGUUGGCCAAACGGGCCACGGAAAACGCCGCCACCGUAGCAGGAACGCCGCAAGCACACAAACCGUAGCAUCGCAAGUAAUGAAGCAUCCCUCAACCAAACCGCCAUCCCAACGCAUCGGCGGAAGAAUAACCCGUACAUAAAAGAACCACGGCUGGCAGACAUCGCUUCCCGUAUAUU